rnacentral:rRNA from 1 species
AGAUUAAGCCAUGCAUGUCUCAGUACAAGCCAAAUUAAGGUGAAACCGCGAAAGGCUCAUUAAAUCAGUAUGGUUCCUUAGAUCGUACCCACAAUUACUUGGAUAACUGUGGUAAUUCUAGAGCUAAUACAUGCAAACAGAGCUCCGACCGGAGACGGAAGGAGUGCUUUAUUAGAUCAAAACCAAUCGGUGGCGAGUUCGCUCGUCAUNGUACAACUUGGUGACUCUGAAUAACUUUACGCUGAUCGCACGGUCUCGCACCGGCGACGCAUCUUUCAAAUGUCUGCCUUAUCAACUGUCGAUGGUAGGUUCUGCGCCUACCAUGGUUGUAACGGGUAACGGGGAAUCAGGGUUCGAUUCCGGAGAGGGAGCCUGAGAAACGGCUACCACAUCCAAGGAAGGCAGCAGGCGCGCAAAUUCCCACUCCCGGCACGG